UCCAAGGCUAAAUACUCCUGACUGACCGAUAGUGAACCAGUACCGUGAGGGAAAGGCGAAAAGAACCCCGGCGAGGGGAGUGAAAAAGAACCUGAAACCGUGUACGUACAAGCAGUGGGAGCACGCUUAGGCGUGUGACUGCGUACCUUUUGUAUAAUGGGUCAGCGACUUAUAUUCUGUAGCAAGGUUAACCGAAUAGGGGAGCCGAAGGGAAACCGAGUCUUAACUGGGCGUUAAGUUGCAGGGUAUAGACCCGAAACCCGGUGAUCUAGCCAUGGGCAGGUUGAAGGUUGGGUAACACUAACUGGAGGACCGAACCGACUAAUGUUGAAAAAUUAGCGGAUGACUUGUGGCUGGGGGUGAAAGGCCAAUCAAACCGGGAGAUAGCUGGUUCUCCCCGAAAGCUAUUUAGGUAGCGCCUCGUGAAUUCAUCUCCGGGGGUAGAGCACUGUUUCGGCAAGGGGGUCAUCCCGACUUACCAACCCGAUGCAAACUGCGAAUACCGGAGAAUGUUAUCACGGGAGACACACGGCGGGUGCUAACGUCCGUCGUGAAGAGGGAAACAACCCAGACCGCCAGCUAAGGUCCCAAAGUCAUGGUUAAGUGGGAAACGAUGUGGGAAGGCCCAGACAGCCAGGAUGUUGGCUUAGAAGCAGCCAUCAUUUAAAGAAAGCGUAAUAGCUCACUGGUCGAGUCGGCCUGCGCGGAAGAUGUAACGGGGCUAAACCAUG
rnacentral:rRNA from 1 species